AGUCCUUAACGGGAUGGUACUGACUUUCAUACAGGUGCUGCAUGGCUGUCGUCAGCUCGUGUCGUGAGAUGUUUGGUCAAGUCCUAUAACGAGCGAAACCCUCGUUUUGUGUUGCUGAGACAUGCGCCUAAGGAGAAAGUCUUUUCAACCGAAGUGAGCCGAGGAGCCGAGUGACGCGCCAGCGCUACUAAUUGAGUGCCAGCACGUAGCUGUGCUGUCAGUAAGAAGGGAGCCGGCGCCUUUCGAAUUCGAAGCACUUUCUAGUGUGCGCUGUUUUUUGAUUGCAGCUAGCGAGCGGAUGCGCGUCGUUAGCCUUUCUCUAAAGUAGGCUUUCGCGCAACUCAAUCCCUUGCUUGUUGCUUUACUAAAUAGAAAGGGCUUUUCUCGCUUGUUUAGUAAAGUCGGCCUUAUCUUGCAGGUGACGACGACGUCGAGUUGGCGG